GACGAACGCUGGCGGCGUGCUUAACACAUGCAAGUCGAACGGAAAGGCCCUGCUUUUGUGGGGUGCUCGAGUGGCGAACGGGUGAGUAACACGUGAGUAACCUGCCCUUGACUUUGGGAUAACUUCAGGAAACUGGGGCUAAUACCGGAUAGGAGCUCCUGCUGCAUGGUGGGGGUUGGAAAAUUUCGGCGGUUGGGGAUGGACUCGCGGCUUAUCAGCUUGUUGGUGGGGUAGUGGCUUACCAAGGCUUUGACGGGUAGCCGGCCUGAGAGGGUGACCGGCCACAUUGGGACUGAGAUACGGCCCAGACUCCUACGGGAGGCAGCAGUGGGGAAUAUUGCACAAUGGGCGGAAGCCUGAUGCAGCAACGCCGCGUGCGGGAUGACGGCCUUCGGGUUGUAAACCGCUUUCGCCUGUGACGAAGCGUGAGUGACGGUAAUGGGUAGAGAAGCACCGGCUAACUACGUG
rnacentral:rRNA from 1 species